AUAACCGGCGAUACCCGAAUGGGGAAACCCAGUGUGAUUCGUCACACUAUCAUUAACUGAAUCCAUAGGUUAAUGAGGCGAACCGGGGGAACUGAAACAUCUAAGUACCCCGAGGAAAAGAAAUCAACCGAGAUUCCCCCAGUAGCGGCGAGCGAACGGGGAGGAGCCCAGAGCCUGAAUCAGCAUGUGUGUUAGUGGAAGCGUCUGGAAAGGCGCGCGAUACAGGGUGACAGCCCCGUACACAAAAGCGCAUGUGCUGUGAGCUCGAUGAGUAGGGCGGGACACGUGGUAUCCUGUCUGAAUAUGGGGGGACCAUCCUCCAAGGCUAAAUACUCCUGACUGACCGAUAGUGAACCAGUACCGUGAGGGAAAGGCGAAAAGAACCCCGGCGAGGGGAGUGAAAAAGAACCUGAAACCGUGUACGUACAAGCAGUGGGAGCACCCUUUGGGUGUGACUGCGUA
rnacentral:rRNA from 1 species